CGAGUCAUUGUAGCAUACAAGGCAUACGGCUCAGUAACGCGUAGUCCCUUAACCUAUGGACGGGAAUAACCUCGGGAAACUGAGAAUACUGCCCGAUAGAACAUUAUGCCUGGAAUGGUUUAUGUUCCAAAUGAUUUAUCGCCGUAGGAUGGGACUGCGGCCUAUCAGUUUGUUGGUGAGGUAAUGGCCCACCAAGACUAUUACAGGUACGGGCUCUGAGAGGAGUAGCCCGGAGAUGGGUACUGAGACACGGACCCAGGCCCUAUGGGGCGCAGCAGGCGAGAAAACUUUGCAAUGUGCGAAAGCACGACAAGGCUAAUCCGAGUGGUUUCUGCUAAAGAAACCUUUUGUCAGUCCUAGAAACACUGAUGAAUAAGGGGUGGGCAAGUUCUGGUGUCAGCCGCCGCGGUAAAACCAGCACCUCAAGUGGUCAGGAUGAUUAUUGGGCCUAAAGCAUCCGUAGCCGGCUCUGUAAGUUUUCGGUUAAAUCUGUACGCUCAACGUACAGGCUGCCGGGAAUACUGCAGAGCUAGGGAGUGGGAGAGGUAGACGGUACUCGGUAGGAAGGGGUAAAA
rnacentral:rRNA from 1 species